rnacentral:rRNA from 1 species
UACAGAGGGGGCAAGCGUUGUUCGGAAUUACUGGGCGUAAAGGGCGCGUAGGCGGCCGCCUAAGUCAGACGUGAAAUCCCUCGGCUUAACCGGGGAACUGCAUCUGAUACUGGAUGGCUUGAGUUCGGGAGAGGGAUGCGGAAUUCCAGGUGUAGCGGUGAAAUGCGUAGAUAUCUGGAGGAACACCGGUGGCGAAGGCGGCAUCCUGGACCGACACUGACGCUGAGGAGCGAAAGCCAGGGGAGCAAACGGG